UGGGGAAUUUUGGACAAUGGGCGAAAGCCUGAUCCAGCAAUGCCGCGUGUGUGAAGAAGGCCUUCGGGUUGUAAAGCACUUUUGUCCGGAAAGAAAUCCUUGGCUCUAAUACAGUCGGGGGAUGACGGUACCGGAAGAAUAAGCACCGGCUAACUACGUGCCAGCAGCCGCGGUAAUACGUAGGGUGCAAGCGUUAAUCGGAAUUACUGGGCGUAAAGCGUGCGCAGGCGGAUUGCUAAGACCGAUGUGAAAUCCCCGGGCUCAACCUGGGAACUGCAUUGGUGACUGGCAGGCUAGAGUAUGGCAGAGGGGGGUAGAAUUCCACGUGUAGCAGUGAAAUGCGUAGAGAUGUGGAGGAAUACCGAUGGCGAAGGCAGCCCCCUGGGCCAAUACUGACGCUCAUGCACGAAAGCGUGGGGAGCAAACAGGAUUAGAUACCCUGGUAGUCCAGCGCCCUAAACGAUGUCAACUAGUUGUUGGGGAUUCAUUUCCUUAGUAACGUAGCUAACGCGUGAAGUUGACCGCCUGGGGAGUACGGUCGCAAGAUUAAAACUCAAAUGAAUUGACGGGGUCAUAGCUGUUUCCU
rnacentral:rRNA from 1 species